CUCCUCUGGUUUGACUGUAACUCGAUUGGACAAAUCCUGAAGGUCUCCUGGAUGAAAAAGUUGAGCUUCUUUCAAUCCAAUAUUUUCACAAGCUUUCAGAAAAACAUUUAUAUUAUCCAAGCCAGCUAUUGGAGUUGACAGACGAUUGAUCUUCCUAACAAUGCCAGGUUUGAUCUUGUUAAUCAAAUCGCACAACAGGACUCCAUUUUCUAGAGCUGCUCGAAAAUCUUUGGUUCCAAAGCUCUUCCCAGUAACUGUCUCCACCCAUCUCCGCGCCUCUGCGAACGCCGCCUCGCAGCCGCACUCGGCAUCCUCUCUGCCGUCCAUGGCCGGGAGAAAGAGCGGGUGGCGG
rnacentral:lncRNA from 1 species